rnacentral:rRNA from 1 species
GUGGGGAAUUUUGGACAAUGGGCGCAAGCCUGAUCCAGCAAUGCCGCGUGCAGGAAGAAGGCCUUCGGGUUGUAAACUGCUUUUGUACGGAACGAAACGGUCCUGGUUAAUACCUGGGGCUAAUGACGGUACCGUAAGAAUAAGCACCGGCUAACUACGUGCCAGCAGCCGCGGUAAUACGUAGGGUGCGAGCGUUAAUCGGAAUUACUGGGCGUAAAGCGUGCGCAGGCGGUGCUGUAAGACAGGCGUGAAAUCCCCGGGCUCAACCUGGGAAUUGCGCUUGUGACUGCAGUGCUGGAGUACGGCAGAGGGGGAUGGAAUUCCGCGUGUAGCAGUGAAAUGCGUAGAUAUGCGGAGGAACACCGAUGGCGAUGGCAGUCCCCUGGGCCUGUACUGACGCUCAUGCACGAAAGCGUGGGGAGCAAACAGGAUUGAUACCCCUGUAGUCC